rnacentral:rRNA from 1 species
UACGUAGGGGGCAAGCGUUGUCCGGAAUCAUUGGGCGUAAAGCGCGUGUAGGCGGCCAGAUAAGUCCGUUCUGAAAGCCCGGGGCUCAACCCCGGGAGGCGGAUGGAUACUGUUUGGCUCGAGUCCGGAAGAGGCGAGUGGAAUUCCCGGUGUAGAGGUGAAAUUCGUAGAUAUCGGGAGGAACACCAGUGGCGAAGGCGGCGAUCUGGACAGAUAUUGACGCUGAUGUACGAAAGCGUGGGGAGCAAACAGG